rnacentral:tRNA from 1 species
UUAAAUAAAUCUAAUUUUUAGAAAUUAAUUUCGACUUAAUAGAAAGGUAUUAGCUUACCUAUUUAAU